ACAGGUAUAGCUGAGUGGUAGAUUAGGUGCUUAGCAUGCACAAGGUCCUGGGUUCAAUCCCCAGUACCUCUA
rnacentral:tRNA from 1 species